AAAUUGAAGAGUUUGAUCAUGGCUCAGAUUGAACGCUGGCGGCAGGCCUAACACAUGCAAGUCGAACGGUAACAGGAAGCAGCUUGCUGCUUCGCUGACGAGUGGCGGACGGGUGAGUAAUGUCUGGGAAACUGCCUGAUGGAGGGGGAUAACUACUGGAAACGGUAGCUAAUACCGCAUAACGUCGCAAGACCAAAGAGGGGGACCUUCGGGCCUCUUGCCAUCAGAUGUGCCCAGAUGGGAUUAGCUUGUUGGUGGGGUAACGGCUCACCAAGGCGACGAUCCCUAGCUGGUCUGAGAGGAUGACCAGCCACACUGGAACUGAGACACGGUCCAGACUCCUACGGGAGGCAGCAGUGGGGAAUAUUGCACAAUGGGCGCAAGCCUGAUGCAGCCAUGCCGCGUGUAUGAAGAAGGCCUUCGGGUUGUAAAGUACUUUCAGCGGGGAGGAAGGUGUUGUGGUUAAUAACCGCAGCAAUUGACGUUACCCGCAGAAGAAGCACCGGCUAACUCCGUGCCAGCAGCCGCGGUAAUACGGAGGGUGCAAGCGUUAAUCGGAAUUACUGGG
rnacentral:rRNA from 1 species